CAGCGCGGGGCAACCUGGCGGCGAGUGGCGAACGGGUGAGUAAUAUAUCGGAACGUACCCUGGAGUGGGGGAUAACGUAGCGAAAGUUACGCUAAUACCGCAUACGAUCUAAGGAUGAAAGUGGGGGAUCGCAAGACCUCAUGCUCCUGGAGCGGCCGAUAUCUGAUUAGCUAGUUGGUGAGGUAAAGGCUCACCAAGGCGACGAUCAGUAGCUGGUCUGAGAGGACGAUCAGCCACACUGGAACUGAGACACGGUCCAGACUCCUACGGGAGGCAGCAGUGGGGAAUUUUGGACAAUGGGCGCAAGCCUGAUCCAGCAAUGCCGCGUGAGUGAAGAAGGCCUUCGGGUUGUAAAGCUCUUUUGUCAGGGAAGAAACGGUAGGAGCUAAUAUCUCCUGCUAAUGACGGUACCUGAAGAAUAAGCACCGG
rnacentral:rRNA from 1 species